CUUCCCAUCAGUCCCGCGAUCUGCUGCUUGGGUUCCCACACCCUGCCUCUCUAGUUUAAAGCCUCCCAAGUAGCACGAGCAAACCUCCCUGC